GAUCAAAACAAGAGGGCGUCCAACAAAGAUGAGAAACAUUCAACUAUUGUUAGAAGAGUGACUAUCAACUAUCAUCCACUUUUGCAACAAAGUUGUAUGUCAAUUUAGACAUUCCAGAAGUUGCAGAAAUUAGAAACAAAUUUUGAAAUUAGAUGAGAAUAUUUUACCAAAAGAGAUUCAGAAAAUAAUUGGCAAUGAAUAUUUGUUCCAACUGCAUCUUGAUGAAUAUAAUUUGAAGUAUGGAAAAGAAAAUUACACAGUUUCAAAGAUUUUGGAGAAGAAAAUUUCACAUAAGCAGAAUGACUCACGUAAAGUUGAAGAACAUCAGGUAAUUGAAGCAUACUUACUUCACUUUGCUUACUAUAUGAUUUAAACAUUAGUCUAUACAUAACUUACUAUAUAUAUCUAACUGAUAC